GCUCCAGUGACUCAGUGGUUAAAGCGUCCGUCUAGGAUACGGGAGGUCGUGGGUUCAAUCCUCGGUCGAGCC